rnacentral:sRNA from 1 species
UGACUGUUUUGGGGUAUGGUAGAGUCA